ensembl:snRNA U6 U6 spliceosomal RNA
GUGCUUGCUUCAGCAGCAUAUAUACUAAAAUUGGAAUAAUACAGAAAAGAUUAGCAUGGACCCUGUGCAAGGAUGACAUGUAAAUUCAUGACGCUUUACAAAAAUGU